UGGACUGUUUCUAACUGUGCUAUGGCUC
rnacentral:piRNA from 1 species